CAUCGACAAUCAAAAUCAAGCACAGUCAGCAGAGUCGAGUCGGAGAUUCUCGACCUUUCGCGAUACCUGUCGGCAGCACCAAACAGCCAACGCUCUUGCGCCAGAGAUCUUGCGCCCCCCUCCCCCCGCGAUCUUCACCCACGAUCUGCAAGCAGAAUCCCUGUUUGAAAUAAAAAGGACUCUGUAAGCAUUUAUGGUGGCUAAGCAACAAUCAAAUUCCAAAAGUUUAGCGGAACAUACGCCGGGUAGAGCCCAUAAAGACGUAGGGCCAUAGGGGGCAUCGACACACACUAUGCACAGCAACUGCUCAAAGAAAUGCCUCCAAGGUAAGUGCUCAAGUAUCUUGUGUUUUCAGAAGUUUUAGCGGACUAGAACUUGUAGAGCUCAUUUAGCAUGAAACAUGGAAAUGUGACUCUGAUUCAAGAGAGUAUGAUGCAACAUCCAAGACAUUCUAACGCCAUGAAAGGUAUGUUCUUAUGUUCAGUACUUCAGUUACCAAUUGCACUCUUUACUUUCAUAUAGGUAUGAAUUCGAAACUUAUAAACAUCAUAGCUGCCAGCUUUGCCUUGCUCCCUUGGGUAGCUAGACAAUGUGAAUUUGAUUUAAUAUGUACAUAUAUAUUCAGUGAAAGCUGAUUGGGGCAUCAUAACGUUUUACUCCAGUUCUAGGCAACACUUAUGUACUACUGUUCAUGUAGGAAAUCUCCCAUCUAUAUCUAUCAACUAAUGAAAUGAAGGUCUUGCUUACUACUUCCUACUUACCUGAUUUCCAAAUGUAACAUUCCAUAUCCAAGUAUCAGACCACUUGUUAGAAUGCAGAAUUAUUAGGAUUCUUAUCAAACAUUUGUACACAAUAGAGAUUGCCAAAUCGAUUAGCACAUUGCUUUCUUAGGAUUUGACUAGCACAUGUUGAGUAUUUACAAGCUGCCAAAUAUUGCCAAACCCACCAAGGUCAAGCUUUGGCAGUAUUGUUCUUGCUCUCAUAUGGCAUUUCCAAAGUUGAACUUGAUUAAUUUUCGAAAAAAAAGUUGAACUUGAGAAGUCAGUCUUUUCAGUUACAAGUAGCCUUCUGAACUUGCAUAUGGUAUUUCUACGUACAGGCUAUUCAUUCUCUAAGUCUUGGUUUUGACAUAGGAAAUAGAGGUUGAACGGCAACAAAGUUUCUCGAUUGAAAUUCCAAAGUGGGAAUUGGAGUACUUUCACAAAAAUAGGCAUACCCAUGAUUUUGUGGAUGGUUGAUCCCUAUGACAGCUCCUUAUGUAAAUGUUGCAUGAGUUGUAAUAUCUCUUCUCUAAAGUCAAAUUUUGAGAUGUCUGCUAGAUUUGUAGUAAUGUUUCUUCCUUCAAAAGUUUCGGGAUACUGUCAACAUGUUUUUGAGCUAGAGGUAGCUAUCUCGAUCAGUAGUCAAAA